rnacentral:lncRNA from 1 species
GACAGUGAGCUGCCUCUCUGCGAUUGGUUUUGCCCGAGUUUUAUUUUUGUCUGUCUCAGCUAGAAAGUGGGAGACUUUCAUUUAAAAUGGAAAUUGGGGCGAGGGGUUGGCGGCUGGGCGAAGGGAGCAUUCAAAAGCGGAGAAUGUCACUUUACCCGAGAAAUUCACUACGAUGGGCCAUUGGUUUCUGCUCGGCUCGCAGGCGCACUGCACGAGUGGAGGUGUGGCUAGUGGCUGUGAUGAGAUAAAUCCAUGCAUAGCCUUUUCAUUGCGAGCUUGAAAGUUCUUUUCUAUUACAGUUUUAGCUUUAGGUUUAAUUGGUUCGACUGCCUUCUCCACAAUUUGGGCGAGAAUUUCCUUUGCCUUCUCAGCAAAAGUUGUUCUGCGGACCCGUCUGGGUCAACUUUCAUGAGGGACAUUGAGACAAACAAAUGAAAUAUGGGUUAAAGUACUCUGAGCAGCUACAAAAAGAAGACCAGUCUAUCCUGCUGGAGACAGUGGCCACGUGAAGAAAGAGCUCUUGCAGUAUGAAAGACCACAUGGAAAGAGAGGCCACAUGGAACCAACAGUCAGCAUCUUGGUUUCGGACACGUGAAGAAAUUCAUCUCAGACUGUGUAUCCUAAAUCAGGCACUUGCUGAAUCUAACUACAUGAGUGAGACCAGUUGACAACACAUGGAGCAGACAUGAGCUGUUCUCAGUGAGUCCUACACAAAUUCCUGACUCACAACACUGUGAGCAAUAAAAUGGUUGUUAUUUUAAGCCACUGAAGUUUGCAGUGAUUUCUUACAUAGGAAUAGAUAAAUGAAACACAAACAUUGAUCAUUUGCAUCUUCUAUCUUUUUUAUGACUAGUCUUAUUGGAAAUUACCAGUUUAUUUCUGCCAUGGUUAGAAAACAAACUCUGAAAUUUUGAUAC